rnacentral:rRNA from 1 species
AUUGAACGCUGGCGGCAGGCCUAACACAUGCAAGUCGAGCGGAUGAAGGGAGCUUGCUCCUGGAUGCAGCGGCGGACGGGGGAGUAAUGCCUAGGAAUCUGCCUGGUAGUGGGGGAUAACGUCCGGAAACGGGCGCUAAUACCGCAUACGACCUGAGGGAGAAAGUGGGGGAGCUUCGGACGGCACGCUAUCAGAUGAGCCUAGGUCGGAUUAGCGAGUUGGUGGGGUAAAGGCCUACCAAGGCGACGAUCCGUAACUGGUCUGAGAGGAUGAUCAGUCACACUGGAACUGAGACACGGUCCAGACUCCUACGGGAGGCAGCAGUGGGGAAUAUUGGACAAUGGGCGAAAGCCUGAUCCAGCCAUGCCGCGUGUGUGAAGAAGGUCUUCGGAUUGUAAAGCACUUUAAGUUGGGAGGAAGGGCAGUAAGUUAAUACCUUGCUGUUUUGACGUUACCAACAGAAUAAGCACCGGCUAACUUCGUG